rnacentral:rRNA from 1 species
AACGGCGGCCGUAACUAUAACGGUCCUAAGGUAGCGAAAUUCCUUGUCGGGUAAGUUCCGACCCGCACGAAAGGCGUAAUGAUUUGAGCACUGUCUCGACAAUGCAUCCGGUGAAAUUGAAGUACCAGUGAAGAUGCUGGUUACCUGCGCCAGGACGGAAAGACCCCAUGGAGCUUUACUCUAGUUUGAUACUGGGAUUCGGUAUUGCAUGUACAGGAUAGGUGGGAGGCUGUGAAGCGAUGACGCCAGUUGUCGCAGAGCCGCUGUUGGGAUACCACCCCUGCAGUACUGGGUUUCUAACCUGCGGCCGUAAUCCGGCCGGGGGACAAUGUCUGACGGGGAGUUUGACUGGGGCGGUCGCCUCCGAAAGGGUAUCGGAGGCGCUCAAAGGUUCCCUCAGAAUGGUCGGAAACCAUUCGAAGAGUGCAAAGGCAGAAGGGAGCUUGACUGCGACACCGACGGGUGGAGCAGGUACGAAAGUAGGACUUAGUGAUCCGGUGGUAUGAAAGUGGGAUUGCCAUCGCUCAACGGAUAAAAGCUACCCUGGGGAUAACAGGCUUAUCACUCCCAAGAGUUCACAUCGACGGAGUGGUUUGGCACCUCGAUGUCGGCUCAUCGCAUCCUGGGGCUGUAGUAGGUCCCAAGGGUUGGGCUGUUCGCCCAUUAAAGCGGUACGCGAGCUGGGUUCAGAACGUCGUGAGACAGUUCGGUCCCUAUCCGGCGCAGGCGGAGGAAAUUUGAUAGGAGCUGUCCUUAGUACGAGAGGACCGGGAUGGACGGACCGCUGGUGUAUCUGUUGUACUGCCAAGUGCAUAGCAGAGUAGCCAAGUCUGGAAGGGAUAAACGCUGAAGGCAUCUAAGCGUGAAGCCCCCCUAAAGAUAAGAUUUCCCAUACCAAAAGGUAGUAAGACCCCUUGAAGACGACGAGGUAGAUAGGGCAGAGGUGGAAGUACGGUAACGUAUGGAGCUGACUGUUACUAAUCGGUCGAGGCUUUAACCAA